AAUUAUAGGCUGGCAUAUCGUCCGAUCAGUGAUCAGUCGCUUUGUGGCGCAAACAAGAUCUAUAAACUCCAGACAUUUGCAGUUAGGCGAAGAAGCACGCUCCGAUCGCUCUGUAAACUUUAGUCUACGAUGAACGUACUUUGGGCAAUCAUCUGGUUUCUUGUGUUAUGGUUUAUCGGAUGGCCGAUAGGUUUUUUCUGCGCAGGAUGGUACGUCUGUUUGUCUCCGUUUGAAGCUUGCAUUGAUGCCAUCAAACAAGUCACGGAGCUGCUUAUGAGAGGAGUAAAACUGCCGCUCGAAGUUGCGGUGCACAUGGUGGAAGGCAAGUCAGGAUGGUAGCUAAGCCACAGGACAUUUAUGGACUACUUUUUUAUGAAAUAAAAUCAUGUCUUUGCAUCUCAACUGCUCAAGUGUGUGUUUUGAAGAACAGAAGAAUAUAUGUGUGAUCUUCCCCGGCGGGAGAAAUUUAUAAUUGCAAGUACAGAGUGAAGUUAGAGUUGAAAAGGCAAGGACCACACUGUGUUGCGUUGUUGUGCCGUUGAACCAAAAUCUACUUAAACCUUUGUAACCUUAAACCUUUGUAACACGACAGAAAUAAAAUUCAUCGUUUUGUAA